ensembl:rRNA 5S_rRNA 5S ribosomal RNA
GCCUGCAAAGAGCCCACCUUGGUUUACAACCUUGUCAGGUCUCCCAAGCUAAGUAGGGAUGGGCUGGCUCUGGACUUGGAUGGGAGACCUAGGAAUACCCAGACACUCCAGGAA